rnacentral:snRNA from 11 species
GUGCUCGCUUCGGCAGCACAUAUACUAAAAUUGGAACGAUACAGAGAAGAUUAGAAAAUCCCAUUCAGAUAGGCGCCCCGUUUUUGGAAGCGGAGAUGAAAACGAAA